CUGCGAGUGAAGCGGGAAAAGCUCAAAUUUAAAAUCUGGCGGUCUUUGGCCGUCCGAGUUGUAGUCUGGAGAAGUGCUUUCCGCGCUGGACCGUGUACAAGUCUCUUGGAACAGAGCGUCAUAGAGGGUGAGAAUCCCGUCUUUGACACGGACUACCAGUGCUUUGUGAUGCGCUCUCAAAGAGUCGAGUUGUUUGGGAAUGCAGCUCAAAAUGGGUGGUGAAUUCCAUCUAAAGCUAAAUAUAGGCGAGAGACCGAUAGCGAACAAGUACCGUGAGGGAAAGAUGAAAAGCACUUUGGAAAGAGAGUUAAACAGUACGUGAAAUUGCUGAAAGGGAAACGCUUGAAGUCAGUCGCGUCGUCCGGAACUCAGCCUUGCUUUUGCUUGGUGUAUUUUCCGGUUGACGGGCCAGCAUCGAUUUUGACCGCCGGAAAAAGGCUGGGGGAAUGUGGCACCUUCGGGUGUGUUAUAGCCUUCAGUCACAUACGGUGGUUGGGAUCGAGGAACGCAGCACACCUUUAUGGUCGGGGUUCGCCCACGUUUGUGCUUAGGAUGCUGGCGUAAUGGCUUUAAACGACCCGUCUUGAAACACGGACCAAGGAGUCUAACAUGCCCGCGAGUGUUUGGGUGGAAAACCCGAGCGCGUAAUGAAAGUGAAAGUUGAGACCCCUGUCGCGGGGGGCAUCGACGCCCGGACCAGACCUUCUGUGACGGAUCCGCGGUGGAGCGUGUAUGUUGGGACCCGAAAGAUGGUGAACUAUGCCUGAAUAGGGUGAAGCCAGAGGAAACUCUGGUGGAGGCUCGUAGCGAUUCUGACGUGCAAAUCGAUCGUCAAA
rnacentral:rRNA from 1 species